rnacentral:tRNA from 1 species
UCCCUGGUGGCUCAGAUGGUAAAGCAUCUGCCUACAAUGCAGGAGGCCUGGGUUCAAUCCCUGGGUUGGGAA